CCUACGGGAGGCAGCAGUGAGGAAUAUUGGUCAAUGGGCGAGAGCCUGAACCAGCCAAGUCGCGUGAGGGAGUACUGCCCUAUGGGUUGUAAACCUCUUUUGUCGGGGAGCAAAAGCCGGACGUGUCCGGCUGUGAGAGUACCCGAAGAAAAAGCAUCGGCUAACUCCGUGCCAGCAGCCGCGGUAAUACGGAGGAUGCGAGCGUUAUCCGGAUUUAUUGGGGUUAAAGGGUGCGCAGGCGGAUUUUUAAGUCAGCGGUCAAAUCGUGGGGCUCAACCCCAUCCAGCCGUUGAAACUGGGGAUCUAGAGUGUGCGAGAGGUAUGCGGAAGGCGUGGUGUAGCGGUGAAAUGCAUAGAUAUCACGCAGAACCCCGAUUGCGAAGGCAGCAUACCGGUGCACAACUGACGCUCAGGCACGAAAGCGUGGGUAUCGAACAGGAUUAGAUACCCGUGUAGUC
rnacentral:rRNA from 1 species